rnacentral:rRNA from 1 species
CACGGGGGUUGGAGGGCAAGUCUGGUGCCAGCAGCCGCGGUAAUUCCAGCUCCAAUAGCGUAUAUUAAAGUUGUUGCAGUUAAAAAGCUCGUAGUUGAAUUUCGGGAUCAGUAGGUUGGUCAUGCCUAUGGUAUGUACUGGCUUUACUGGUUCCUCCUUCUUGAUGAUCUGUAAUGUCAUUAAUUUGGUGUUGCAGGGAGUCAGGACUGUUACUUUGAAAAAAUUAGAGUGUUUAAAGCAGGCAUACGCUUGAAUACAUUAGCAUGGAAUAAUGAAAUAGGACGUUCGAUCCUAUUUUGUUGGUUUCUAGGAUUGACGUAAUGAUUAAUAGGGAUAGUUGGGGGCAUUAGUAUUCAAUUGUCAGAGGUGAAAUUCUUGGAUUUAUUGAAGACUA